rnacentral:tRNA from 10 species
CGGGCUGUGGCGCAGCCUGGUAGCGCACCUGCUUCGGGAGCAGGGGGUCGGAGGUUCGAAUCCUCUCAGCCCGACCA